AGUCAAACACUUCAGGAUCCAUCACCAUGGCCUGUGCCCUGCUCCUCCUGGCGCUGAUGACGUGCUGUUCAGGGGUCUGGUCACAGCCUGUGGUGACUCAGGAGCCUGCGGUGUCCGUGUCCCCAGGAGGGACUGUCACUCUGUCCUGCAGCCUGAGCACCGGAGCCAUCACCAGCAGCAACCAUCCUGGCUGGUACCAGCAGAAACCUGGCUCUCCCCCCCGGUUGCUUAUAUAUGACACCAUGACCAGGCCCUCGGGGCUCCCCACCCGGUUCUCGGGGUCCAUCUCUGGUCAGAAGGCCGCUUUAACCAUCACAAGGGUCCAAGCCGAGGAUGAGGCCGACUACUACUGUGCUGUGUAUGUUGGCAGUGCUCCAUGGGACACGGGACUACUGAAGCGGGUUCAUGGAAAACACAAGCAUGUGGAGAUGUAG